CUCUGGGCGCAAGGCGCUCAGGGCGGAAAGAG
rnacentral:ncRNA from 1 species